rnacentral:rRNA from 1 species
GACGAACGCUGGCGGCGUGCUUAACACAUGCAAGUCGAACGGAAAGGCCCUUCGGGGUACUCGAGUGGCGAACGGGUGAGUAACACGUGGGUGAUCUGCCCUGCACUUUGGGAUAAGCCUGGGAAACUGGGUCUAAUACCGAAUAGGACCACGCGCUUCAUGGUGUGUGGUGGAAAGCUUUUGCGGUGUGGGAUGGGCCCGCGGCCUAUCAGCUUGUUGGUGGGGUAAUGGCCUACCAAGGCGACGACGGGUAGCCGGCCUGAGAGGGUGACCGGCCACACUGGGACUGAGAUACGGCCCAGACUCCUACGGGAGGCAGCAGUGGGGAAUAUUGCACAAUGGGCGCAAGCCUGAUGCAGAGACGCCGCGUGAGGGAUGACGGCCUUCGGGUUGUAAACCUCUUUCAAUAGGGACGAAGCGCAAGUGACGUUACCUAUAGAAGAAGCACCGGCCAACUACGUG